rnacentral:rRNA from 1 species
AGUGAAUAGAUACCCUGGUAGUCCACGCCGUAAACGAUGAGUACUAGGUGUAGGGGGUAUCGACCCCUCUGUGCCGAAAGCUAAACGCGAUAAGUACUCCGCCUGGGGACGUACGGCCGCAAGGCUAAAACUACAAGGAAUUGACGGGGGCCCGGCACAAGCAGCGGAGCGUGUGGUUUAAUUCGAUGAUACGCGAAGAACCUCACCAGGUUUGACAUGCAUGUGGUACGGAUGUGAAAGCUGAAGGACCCUUCGGGGAGCAUGCACAGGUGUUGCACGGCCGUCGUCAGCUCGUGCCGUGAGGUGUUGGGUUAAGUCCCGCAACGAGCGCAACCCCUGUCGCCAGUUGUAUUUUCUGGCGAGACUGCCGAGAAAACCUCGGAGGAAGGAGGGGACGAUGUCAGGUCAGCGUGGCCCUUACGCCUGGGGCUACACACACGCUACAAUGGGCAGUACAACGGGUCGCGAAGCCGCGAGGCGAAGCUAAUCCCAUCAAAGCUGUCCUCAGUUCGGAUUGCAGGCUGAAACCCGCUGCAU